AGAGAUAGAGAGAGUCUUGAGAAAAGACAGUGUCUGUGUUUGAGGACAGAGAGGAGGUCGAGAGUUGCAGAGGGCGCAGCGAAAGCUUGGUGAUUUGUGAUCCAACGAGGAUUAUUUGUUUAUCAGUAUACUGAAGAUGAACGAAAAUUACUAAAUAUAGGCUUAGGACGGAAGAGUUGGCGUUGCGAGAUUUAAAUUUUUUUUUUAUUUUGGAGAUUUUUUUGUAUUUGAGGAAAUUGAUUUUGGUAUAAAAGAGGACAUUUUUUUUUUUU